CGCUGGCGGCAGGCCUAACACAUGCAAGUCGAGCGGAUGAAGGGAGCUUGCUCCUGGAUUCAGCGGCGGACGGGUGAGUAAUGCCUAGGAAUCUGCCUGGUAGUGGGGGAUAACGUCCGGAAACGGGCGCUAAUACCGCAUACGUCCUGAGGGAGAAAGUGGGGGAUCUUCGGACCUCACGCUAUCAGAUGAGCCUAGGUCGGAUUAGCUAGUUGGUGGGGUAAAGGCCUACCAAGGCGACGAUCCGUAACUGGUCUGAGAGGAUGAUCAGUCACACUGGAACUGAGACACGGUCCAGACUCCUACGGGAGGCAGCAGUGGGGAAUAUUGGACAAUGGGCGAAAGCCUGAUCCAGCCAUGCCGCGUGUGUGAAGAAGGUCUUCGGAUUGUAAAGCACUUUAAGUUGGGAGGAAGGGCAGUAAGUUAAUACCUUGCUGUUUUGACGUUACCAACAGAAUAAGCACCGGCUAACUUCGUGCCAGCCGCCGCGGUAAUU
rnacentral:rRNA from 1 species